rnacentral:rRNA from 1 species
GAUGAAUGCUGGCGGCGUGCUUAACACAUGCAAGUCGAGCGGUAACAGGAGUAGUUUACUACUUGCUGACGAGCGGCGGACGGCUGAGUAACGCGUGGGAACAUGCCCCAAAGUGAGGAAUAACUGCCCGAAAGGGUAGCUAAUGCCGCAUAUGAUCUUCGGAUCAAAGGAUUUAUCCGCUUUGGGAGUGGCCUGCGUAUGAUUAGGUAGUUGGUGAGGUAAUGGCUCACCAAGCCGACGAUCAUUAGCUGGUCUGAGAGGAUGACCAGCCAGACUGGAACUGAGACACGGUCCAGACUCCUACGGGAGGCAGCAGUGAGGAAUAUUCCACAAUGGGCGAAAGCCUGAUGGAGCAACGCCGCGUGAAGGAUGAAGGCCCUCGGGUUGUAAACUUCUUUUAUAAGUGAAGAAUAUGACGGUAACUUAUGAAUAAGCACCGGCUAACUACGUGCCAGCAGCCGCGGUAAAA